CCUACGGGAGACAGCAGUAGGGAAUAUUGCUCAAUGGGGGAAACCCUGAAGCAGCAACGCCGCGUGGAGGAUGAAGGUUUUCGGAUUGUAAACUCCUUUUGUUAGAGAAGAUAAUGACGGUAUCUAACGAAUAAGCACCGGCUAACUCCGUGCCAGCAGCCGCGGUAAUACGGAGGGUGCAAGCGUUACUCGGAAUCACUGGGCGUAACGAGCGCGUAGGAGGGAUAGCAAGUCAGAUGUGAAAUCCUAUGGCUUAACCAUAGAACUGCAUUUGAAACUGUUAUUCUAGAGUAUGGGAGAGGUAGGUGGAAUUCUUGGUGUAGGGGUAAAAUCCGUAGAGAUCAAGAGGAAUACUCAUUGCGAAGGCGACCUGCUAGAACAUAACUGACGCUGAUGCGCGAAAGCGUGGGGAGCAAACAGGAUUAGAUACCCGAGUAGUC
rnacentral:rRNA from 1 species